rnacentral:lncRNA from 1 species
AACCCUAUCUACAAUCGAUGUGGGACAACUUCAACAAGCUCCCCCUUACACAUCGAGCUUUGCAAAAAACCAAACACAUCUCCUCCCACACAUCGGGCCCUACAGGAGACCAAACUGUCUCCCCCUCACACAAAGGGUCAGCGGGAGACCAAGCCAGUCUCUUCCUCACAUAAACCCGAAUCUCUACAACUAUUGGGUCGGAGACGAUUGUUGAGCCAGAGACUUGUUGAUAAACCAGGCUCUGAUACCAUUAUUGAGUAGUGUUUGGCCUCUCUUACCCUAAAAGCUAGCUCAAAAGGUGAAACUUUUCCUCACAUUUAUAAACUGAAUGCCAACCUCAUCUACAAUCAAUGUGGGACAACCUCAACAUCAAACACACCGUCCAAAAAGGUAUUAACAUCUAAUAAAACCAUCGCGG